GACGAACGCUGGCGGCGUGCUUAACACAUGCAAGUCGAACGAAGUGGCGAACGGGUGAGUAACGCGUAAUCAACCUGCCCUUCAGAGGGGGACAACAGUUGGAAACGACUGCUAAUACCGCUUACUGAAUGGGUGGUUUGCGGCUGAUUAGCUAGUUGGCGGGGUAACGGCCCACCAAGGCGAUGAUCCGUCGACGGUCUGAGAGGAUGAACCGCCACAUUGGGACUGAGACACGGCCCCGACUCCUACGGGAGGCAAGCAGUGGGAAUCUUCCGCAAUUGACGAAAGUCUGACGGCGCAAAGGCGCGGUGGUGAUGACGGGCUUCGGGUUGUUAAGCUCUGUUAAGCGGGACGCGGUACCGGAAGAGAAAGCCACGGCUAACUACGUGCCAGCAGCCGCGGUAAUAC
rnacentral:rRNA from 1 species